GCUAUGAGUUACCUAGAAAUGAGCGAGAAA
rnacentral:piRNA from 1 species